UCCUUCCACAACAAACAAUCGAUGCACAAGCCAUCAAGGGUUAGGUGGCUGAAUUUUUGUGACUAUAUUAGUUAAUCUGCAGGAGAGGGAAAUCACUCCAUUCCUUCUUUUUCCUUCUUCCUUCUUCUAUCUUUUGUUCCUUCUUCUUUCUCCUUCUACCCGAGACCGUUAGUGUGCAAGAGACUAAGAAGGUGAGAGACCGGAGAUAGAGGGGGGCAGAGAUGGAGUGGCUCGAGAGAUGAGAUGAGAGACCGGAGAGAGGGGCUAAGAUUGAGAGAUCCGGGUGACCCGCGGGAGGAGAACCGGAACCCGUCAAACCUAGCAGAAACCCGACGAACCCCGUGAGCAAUCCAGCCUAGACUCGCCAAGCCCGACCCUCCGGCGUGCGACCCAGACCCGCAACCCACAUGACCGUUGAUCUGAGGCUCGAACCAUGGGUGAUCUCCGACCCAGAAGCCCAUCCCGGCAGGCCGUGGCCGGUCCUCAGCAACCCAAGACUCGUGACCCGUAAGACCCGAUCCUUCAUGGGUCUAAUUCCCGGUGGCCGGUGAGACGAUUCCGGCGGUUCUGGCCGUGACCCGAUGAACCAGCCUUGCUACCCGUGAGCUGAACCCAUCAGACCCAAACGAUCCAGUGACCCGGCAGUGAUCCCCCAACUCGCGACCCGGAAGCAACCCGAUCCGUCAACCCAUGACCCGAACCCGGAAAUCCAACCCGGCAGUGACCUGUUUCCGGCAGUGUCUUUCCGGCGACUUUUCCGGCGGAUUUCUCUGUGCAAUCCCUAGGUUGCGGUCGUGUAUACUAUUGGCUAACCGAGAGUGGUUCUCCCUCUAUUUUGGUGAAUUGCCAACAGUGUAUUUUAGUGGUUCUCUAAUUUUAUGUAUAAGUAUAGACGGACUUUGGUUCCUUAUUUCAGACUAUUAAAUUCGGUUAUGAUUAAUUA